UCAAAAAUAUGAAAAUAAUGUUUUAAUGCAUAGUUGCAUCAUUCACCAACAUAUGAUGAAGUUCAAAGAGGUUUGAAACUUUUUUUUGUCUUCGUUUCCCUAGAAAAUAACGAUUUUAUAGUGGUUAGUCAACAAAUUUAGGGAGAAUUAUGAAGGUUUACUAAAUUAAUUGACAAAAAAUUAAAACUAUGUCCAUGUACCAUGAAAGAGAGUUUAAUAUACAUUAAUACAAAAUUAAAAUGUGUUUAGAAAUUUUAAAACAACACUAAAGAUCAUAGGCUUCAGUAUAUAGAGCAUAUACCGAAAAUUCAAUAUUUUCGGUGGGUUAUUAACCCAUAGAUUUU
rnacentral:lncRNA from 1 species